UGUUUAAUUAGUUUAAGUUUAAAAUAAU
rnacentral:tRNA from 1 species